AAUCCUCUCCUUCUGGGCUUUCCCUGGUGGGCUCUUGGUCAGGUGACUUUUGUGGGAUGUAAACACAGGAGCAGUCAAUGACAACAUUCCUAGAGUGUACAUGUUAAAACAUGGGAGGGAUGUCUGUCCAGCAAGCAGGUAAACUUCCUGGGGACGGACUUCCUCCACAUGUGACCAGAGGUGGGUGUGGCCUCACCUGUGCAGGUGAUGACAAAAGCACAGGGCAGGCAGCCAUCUCUCUCUCUCUGCCAUUUUUACUUUGAUGAAGAAACAUCUAAGGAUGCUCUCUUGGCUCCCAGCCAAGAGAGGAGAUAAGGCCUAUCUUGCUAUAAGAUAGAUUCUAAAUCUAUGUAACCUUUUCAAGCCUGUCUGCCGUCUGGGAUCAUAUUGUGAACAGAUCGUGAGUAAACUCUUUUAUACUUUUAUAAAGACUGUGUUGUGUCUUGUAUUUUAAGAGGGAAUAAAGGGGAAAUUACCAGAGUAAUUAUUAUAGAGGUUCUAGCGAACCUGUGCACACGUUACCGUUGCGUACUAAAGGGGAAUGUAUGUAAACUCUGCUGAUAUUUUGGGAACUUGUUAGCACAAGUCGGAUCAGGAUAUAAUUAGUCAAUAUAUCCUUUCCUGCACCCCAGAACAUUCCCACAAAGGGUUAGUGGCCCCAGUAUUGCAUAUUUCUGCGUAUUUUUGGAGGAUUGCAUUGGAUUGUGAUUUUGAGUUGAGUAGUAUUUUUCUGAGUUAACUUCCUGGUAAGCACAUGGUCCUUUGUUCCAUUGUGCAGUGGGGAUUAAGCAACCCACCCCCUUCCCUCAGAGUUCACAGUGACCCAAGGCAGUGAAGAAUUCUUUUGUAUUUUGAGAUUUUUGAGAUUUUGAUUUUAAAAUUUUGAGAAAUUUUGAAAUUUUGAAGAAUUUUCAAAUUUUGGAUUUUAAGAUGGCUAGAGCAGCUUUUGAUAGUGAUGCAAAGCUAGGAAUGCCUGUGCUGAAUGAGUACAAUUUCAUGCACUGGAAGCAGCGCUUGAUAGCAUGUUUGGAUUAUAAGCACAUUUUGGAAGCUUUAGAGCCUCAGCCUACAGGAUCGUCUGAGGGAGAUUUAGCCAAGAUAAGUGCUUGGAAACGCAUGAACAGCGAAGCUAGACACAUAAUUUUGAGUGGACUUCGUGAUGAGCAGCUAUCAUUAAUAAAUAGCACAGAUGAUGCAUCUCAAAUCUUAAGAGAUAUUGAGCGCGUGUAUGGAGAAUCUAGCAUAAACAGCUUCAGAAACUUGGUGUAUAAAUUAACCAGAUUGAGGAUGAAUUCAAAAGAGGAAUUCACAGAGCACAUCAACAAGUUUACUGAGAUUAUUCAAAGAAUUGAUCUGACUCCCAAAGCUUUUGAUGAGGAUACAAAGAUAGCUGUCAGGGAACUGACAUCGGAGGAAGGGGAGGGGGAAUUACUCACAGAGGCUGGGAGAGAGGGUACUCUGGAGGAGGAUCUCAUGAAUGCUGAGAGAGACGCAGCAGGCAAAGCAGGAACUAGCCGGGAAGAGGGAGGGAUGAGGGACACGUCCAGCGAGAACAGCGGGGAGGUGUCAGAAGCGCCCAUAGGGAGACCCAUGCUUCGCCGGAAGCUGCCACGUCGUGAGUCCAGGAGACGCGUUUCCGUUAAGGAGCUUCUAUGCUGGAAGCGCUUCCGCAGACAGCCACUGUCAGACUCUACGAGUGAUUAGAGCAGACAUGUCUGAGGAGCUCUGUCACACACAGAGGUUUGUGGAGUCGCACAAACUCCGAGGGAGCACGAUUUUACGCACAAGCAGCUAAUCAUCCCAUCACAGCAGUCUGACAGUCUCUGUACGCUG
rnacentral:lncRNA from 1 species